GACGAACGCUGGCGGCGUGCCUAAUACAUGCAAGUAGAACGCUGAAGCUUGGUGCUUGCACCGAGCGGAUGAGUUGCGAACGGGUGAGUAACGCGUAGGUAACCUGCCUGGUAGCGGGGGAUAGCUAUUGGAAACGAUAGCUAAUACCGCAUAAGAGUAGAUGUUGCAUGGCAUUUGCUUAAAAGGUGCAAUUGCAUCACUACCAGAUGGACCUGCGUUGUAUUAGCUAGUUGGUGAGGUAACGGCUCACCAAGGCAACGAUACAUAGCCGACCUGAGAGGGUGAUCGGCCACACUGGGACUGAGACACGGCCCAGACUCCUACGGGAGGCAGCAGUAGGGAAUCUUCGGCAAUGGACGGAAGUCUGACCGAGCAACGCCGCGUGAGUGAAGAAGGUUUUCGGAUCGUAAAGCUCUGUUGUAAGAGAAGAACGAGUGUGAGAGUGGAAAGUUCACACUGUGACGGUAUCUUACCAGAAAGAGACGGCUAACUACGUG
rnacentral:rRNA from 1 species